CUUCUCACAGGAAGAACUGGUCCUGAAGAAGGGAUGGCCUGGGGAGGUGGUGAGCACUUCACAUGCCUGGAGCUGCCCGCCCUACUCGAUGGAUAAAGACCUAAGUUGUAGGUCCCUUCAACUCAGAAGCCCAGAGAGGGCAAAACUUGCCUUCAUCCACACAGCAAUGUGGAUGACUCUGGAAGGGGAAUCCUGGAGCAGUGACUCUUCAGGCCAGAUCCCUGCCUGGCCCCCACCAUGCAGGCCAAGACUACACUGUGGUCCCCAGGUGUCCUACCCACUCCACCACAGAGCCUUGCCACCACUGAGUUCCUGAGCUGGGAGCCUUGAAGCACAUCUGGGAGGGAGGUGACGCUUAGGCCAGAGACUGAGGACAGGCUCCAGGGAUCCAGGAAGGGAGACUUCAGGACAGAAUACGCCAAGGAGGAAUCCACACAAGAGGACAUGGGGAACAGAGAGCAGGGGGUGGCUGUGGCCCCCUCCCCAAGCCUGGAGUGUACCCAAGAUUCCUAUCAUCAGAGCUAGCAGAACUUCAACAGGCCGGGAGGACAAGCAUUAAUGGAUUCAGGACACUGUACCAGCAGAGGUGACUCCCCAGAAUGAGGACAUGAUUCCACUGCCCUGCUGGAGAACUGAGAAGAGGUAUUGUCAGGGUCACAAGGGGAGGCAAGGGCCCCUGGCUCCUG
rnacentral:lncRNA from 1 species